AGAGUUUGAUCCUGGCUCAGGACGAACGCUGGCGGCGUGCUUAACACACGCAAGUCGAACGGAAAGGCCCUUCGGGGUACCCGAGUGGCGAACGGGUGAGUAACACGUGGGUGAUCUGCCCUGCACUUUGGGAUAAGCCUGGGAAACUGGGUCUAAUACCGAAUAUGACCAUGCACUUCCUGGUGUGUGGUGGAAAGCUUUUGCGGUGUGGGAUGGGCCCGCGGCCUAUCAGCUUGUUGGUGGGGUAAUGGCCUACCAAGGCGACGACGGGUAGCCGGCCUGAGAGGGUGACCGGCCACACUGGGACUGAGAUACGGCCCAGACUCCUACGGGAGGCAGCAGUGGGGAAUAUUGCACAAUGGGCGCAAGCCUGAUGCAGCGACGCCGCGUGAGGGAUGACGGCCUUCGGGUUGUAAACCUCUUUCAGCACAGACGAAGCGCAAGUGACGGUAUGUGCAGAAGAAGGACCGGCCAACUACGUGCCAGCAGCCGCGGUAAUACGUAGGGUCCGAGCGUUGUCCGGAAUUACUGGGCGUAAAGAGCUCGUAGGUGGUUUGUCGCGUUGUUCGUGAAAACUCACAGCUUAACUGUGGGCGUGCGGGCGAUACGGGCAGACUUGAGUACUGCAGGGGAGACUGGAAUUCCUGGUGUAGCGGUGGAAUGCGCAGAUAUCAGGAGGAACACCGGUGGCGAAGGCGGGUCUCUGGGCAGUAACUGACGCUGAGGAGCGAAAGCGUGGGGAGCGAACAGGAUUAGAUACCCUGGUAGUCC
rnacentral:rRNA from 1 species